GAGCUCGUAGGUGGUUUGUCGCGUUGUUCGUGAAAUCUCACGGCUUAACUGUGAGCGUGCGGGCGAUACGGGCAGACUUGAGUACUGCAGGGGAGACUGGAAUUCCUGGUGUAGCGGUGGAAUGCGCAGAUAUCAGGAGGAACACCGGUGGCGAAGGCGGGUCUCUGGGCAGUAACUGACGCUGAGGAGCGAAAGCGUGGGGAGCGAACAGGAUUAGAUACCCUGGUAGUCCACGCCGUAAACGGUGGGUACUAGGUGUGGGUUUCCUUCCUUGGGAUCCGUGCCGUAGCUAACGCAUUAAGUACCCCGCCUGGGGAGUACGGCCGCAAGGCUAAAACUCAAAGAAAUUGACGGGGGCCCGCACAAGCGGCGGAGCAUGUGGAUUAAUUCGAUGCAACGCGAAGAACCUUACCUGGGUUUGACAUGCACAGGACGCCGGCAGAGAUGUCGGUUCCCUUGUGGCCUGUGUGCAGGUGGUGCAUGGCUGUCGUCAGCUCGUGUCGUGAGAUGUUGGGUUAAGUCCCGCAACGAGCGCAACCCUUGUCUCAUGUUGCCAGCGGGUAAUGCCGGGGACUCGUGAGAGACUGCCGGGGUCAACUCGGAGGAAGGUGGGGAUGACGUCAAGUCAUCAUGCCCCUUAUGUCCAGGGCUUCACACAUGCUACAAUGGCCGGUACAAAGGGCUGCGAUGCCGCGAGGUUAAGCGAAUCCUUUUAAAGCCGGUCUCAGUUCGGAUCGGGGUCUGCAACUCGACCCCGUGAAGUCGGAGUCGCUAGU
rnacentral:rRNA from 1 species